ensembl:snRNA U6 U6 spliceosomal RNA
GGGCUGGCUUCAGCAGCACAGGUAGUAAGGUCGGAAGGACACAGACAAGAUUAACAUGGUCCCUGCACAAGGACCACACUCAAAUUUGCGAUGAGCCUCUAUCUCCC